rnacentral:rRNA from 1 species
GACGGACGCUGGCGGCGUGCUUAACACAUGCAAGUCGAGCGGUAAGGCCCUUUCGGGGGUACACGAGCGGCGAACGGGUGAGUAACACGUGGGUGACCUGCCCUCAGCUCUGGGAUAAGCCUGGGAAACCGGGUCUAAUACCGGAUAUGACUCCAUGACGCAUGUUGUGGGGUGGAAAGCCUUGUGCGGCUGAGGAUGGGCCCGCGGCCUAUCAGCUUGUUGGUGGGGNGAUGGCCUACCAAGGCGACGACGGGUAGCCGGCCUGAGAGGGCGACCGGCCACACUGGGACUGAGACACGGCCCAGACUCCUACGGGAGGCAGCAGUGGGGAAUCUUGCGCAAUGGGCGAAAGCCUGACGCAGCGACGCCGCGUGAGGGAUGACGGCCUGG